GGAGGAUUGGCCGAGUGGUAAGGCACUGGCUUGCUCUGUUUUUGAUCAGAAGCGAGUCGCGGUCGGGCUUCAACAGCCCGCGCACGUUCGAUCCGUGCAUCCUCCG
rnacentral:tRNA from 3 species